rnacentral:rRNA from 1 species
ACGGGAGGCAGCAGUGGGGAAUAUUGGGCAAUGGGCGAAAGCCUGACCCAGCAACGCCGCGUGAAGGAAGAAGGCCUUCGGGUUGUAAACUUCUUUUACCAGGGACGAAGGACGUGACGGUACCUGGAGAAAAAGCAACGGCUAACUACGUGCCAGCAGCCGCGGUAAUACGUAGGUUGCAAGCGUUGUCCGGAUUUACUGGGUGUAAAGGGAGCGCAGGCGGUACGGCAAGUCUGAUGUGAAAGCCCGGGGCUCAACCCCGGUACUGCAUUGGAAACUGUCGAACUAGAGUGUCGGAGGGGUAAGUGGAAUUCCUAGUGUAGCGGUGAAAUGCGUAGAUAUUAGGAGGAACACCAGUGGCGAAGGCGGCUUACUGGACGAUAACUGACGCUGAGGCUCGAAAGCGUGGGGAGCAAACAGGAUUAGAUACCCUGGUA